AUUGAACGCUGGCGGCAGGCUUAACACAUGCAAGUCGAGCGGAGAUGAGGUGCUUGCACCUUAUCUUAGCGGCGGACGGGUGAGUAAUGCUUAGGAAUCUGCCUAUUAGUGGGGGACAACGUUCCGAAAGGAAUGCUAAUACCGCAUACGCCCUACGGGGGAAAGCAGGGGAUCUUCGGACCUUGCGCUAAUAGAUGAGCCUAAGUCGGAUUAGCUAGUUGGUGGGGUAAGGGCCUACCAAGGCGACGAUCUGUAGCGGGUCUGAGAGGAUGAUCCGCCACACUGGGACUGAGACACGGCCCAGACUCCUACGGGAGGCAGCAGUGGGGAAUAUUGGACAAUGGGCGGAAGCCUGAUCCAGCCAUGCCGCGUGUGUGAAGAAGGCCUUUUGGUUGUAAAGCACUUUAAGCGAGGAGGAGGCUACCUGGAUUAAUACUCUAGGAUAGUGGACGUUACUCGCAGAAUAAGCACCGGCUAACUCUGUGCCAGCCGCCGCGGUAAUAC
rnacentral:rRNA from 1 species